UACGGAGGGUGCGAGCGUUGUCCGGAAUCAUUGGGCGUAAAGGGCGCAUAGGUGGCCCGGUCAGUCCGUGGUGAAAGCGCGGGGCUCAACCCUGCGUCGGCCAUGGAUACUGCCGCGGCUCGAGCACUGUAGAGGCAGGCGGAAUUCCGGGUGUAGCGGUGGAAUGCGUAGAGAUCCGGAAGAACACCGGUGGCGAAGGCGGCCUGCUGGGCAGUUUGGCUGACACUGAGGCGCGACAGCGUGGGGAGCAAACGGG
rnacentral:rRNA from 1 species